UACGUAGGGGGCUAGCGUUGUCCGGAUUUAUUGGGCGUAAAGAGCGUGUAGGCGGCCAUGUAGGUCCGGUGUGAAAACUCGAGGCUUAACCUCGAGAUGUCAUCGGAAACCAUUUGGCUAGAGUCCUGAAGAGGAGAGUGGAAUUCCUGGUGUAGCGGUGAAAUGCGCAGAUAUCAGGAAGAACACCAAUGGCGAAAGCAGCUCUCUGGGACGGUACUGACGCUGAGACGCGAAAGCGUGGGGAGCGAACAGG
rnacentral:rRNA from 1 species